rnacentral:rRNA from 1 species
UACGGGGGGAGCAAGCGUUGUUCGGAUUUACUGGGCGUAAAGGGCGCGUAGGCGGCCACCGCAAGUCAGUUGUGAAAUCUCUGGGCUUAACCCAGAACGGUCAGCUGAUACUGCGGGGCUAGAGUGUAGAAGGGGCAACUGGAAUUCUCGGUGUAGCGGUGAAAUGCGUAGAUAUCGAGAGGAACACCUGCGGCGAAGGCGGGUUGCUGGGCUGACACUGACGCUGACAGCGCGAAAGCUAGGGGAGCGAACGGG